UACGAAGGGGGCUAGCGUUGCUCGGAAUUACUGGGCGUAAAGGGCGCGUAGGCGGAUGUCUAAGUUGGGGGUGAAAUCCCGGGGCUCAACCUCGGAACCGCCUUCAAUACUGGAUAUCUUGAGUUCGGGAGAGGUGAGUGGAAUGCCGAGUGUAGAGGUGAAAUUCGUAGAUAUUGGGAAGAACACCGGUGGCGAAGGCGGCUCACUGGCUCGUUUCUGACGCUCAGGCGCGAUAGCGUGGGGAUCAAACAGG
rnacentral:rRNA from 1 species